CUAUCUCUCCUACCGAUUGAAUGGUACGGUGAAGUGUUCGGAUAGCACUGACAUGGGUCAUUCACCGCCGGCGACGUCGCGAGAAGUCCACUGAACCUUAUCAUUUAGAGGAAGGAGAAGUCAUAACAAGUUUUAGGAAUGCAGCUCUAAUUGGGUGAUAAAUUUUGUCCAAGGCUAAAUACCGGCGAGAGACCGAUGCAGAUUAUGAUGAGGGCCCAAGCCUGUGCCAUUUACGUGCUUUUGGAUACAUCAUCGUCAUGAUUGUGGUGAGCAACAUGCACCUUCGGCAUGCUUAUGGAAACUGCGCGCUUCCGGUGUCGACCUAUGUGCUCCCCAUUCGGCUCGUCUUCAAACAUGGACCAAGGUGUCUGACAUGUGUGCGAGUCAAUGGGUAAGUAAAGCUGUAAGGCGCAAGGAAGCUGAUUGGUAGGAUUCCCUUGUGGGUUGCACAACCGACCGGCCUAGACUUUUUUAGAAGGGUUCAAGUGUGAGCAUACCUAUCGGGACUCGAAAGUUGGUGAACUAUGCCUGAACGGGGCGAAGCUAGAGGAAACUCUUGUGUAGGCCCACAGCGAUACUGACGUGCAAAUCGUUCGUCUGACUUGGGUGUAAAGGCGAAAGACUUAUAGAACCAAUCCCUUUGAAGUUUCCCUCAUGAUAGCUGGAGCUCGAGCACGAGUUCUAACGGGUAAAGCCAAAGAUUAGAGGCAUCGGGGGCACAACGCCUUUGACCUAUUCUCAAACUUUAAAUAGGUAGGACGGUGCGGCUGCAUUGUUGAGUUGUACCAUGGAAUCGAGAGCGCCAAGUAGGCCAUUUUUGGUAAGAAAAAUUGGCGAUGCGGGAUGAACCGAAAGUCGGGUUACGGUGUCCAACUAUGCGGUAACUUGGAACCCACAAAGGGUGUUGGUCGAUUAAGACAGUAGGACGGUGGUCAUGGAAGUCGAAAUUCGCUAAGGAGUGUGUAACAACUCACUUGCUGGAUCAACUAGCCCCAAAAAUGGAUAGCGCUUAAGUACGUGACGCACACCCGGUCGUCGGGGUAAUUUCCAGGCCCUGAUCAGUAAGAGGGCGCGGUGGAAGCUGCAAAACUGGGGCAUGAGCCUGGGAAGAGCUACCGUCAGUGCAAAUCUUAGUGGUAGUAGCAAAUAUUCAAAUGGGAACUUUAAACUUUGAAGAGAGGAAAGAUUCCAUGUGAACGACACUUGCACAUGGGUUAGUCAAUCCUAAGAGUCGAGGUAACCUUGUCAAAGAUCGCAAACUGUGCGAACUUUGAAAGGGAAUCUGGUCAAAAUUCAAGAAUCGGGACGCGGUGGUUGAUGGCAACGUUAGGAAACUGGAGACGUCGAUGGGGGCCUCAGGAAAACUUAUCUUUUAUGUUUAACAACUUGCCCACCCUAGAAACGGCUCAGUUAGAGGUAGGGUCCAACGGCUGGAAGAACACUGCAAGUUGUGUGGUGUUAGGUGCGACCCUGGCGGCCAUUGAAAAUCCGAAGGACCGAUCACGCCCGGUCAUACUCAUAACCGCAUCAGGUGUCCAAGGUGAACAACCUUUGGUCGGUGAAACAAUGUAGGAAAGGGUAGUUGGUAAAAUAGAUUUGCAACCUCGGGAAAAGGAUUGGCUCUAAAGACUAAGCUCGAGGGUCCCUGUCCUUAACUCGUUGGUUGUUGGUGGAUUGCUCGAGUUGCUUUGGUGGCAAGAGCUGGUCACUACGUGCUGACUGGGGGAUGGACUGGGAAUUUUCCCAUUGGAGCUUCCCCGGGCAUUGAACAAUCGACUCUGAACUGGUACAGACAAGGGGAAUCCGACUGUUUAAUUAAAACAAAACAUUGCGAUGGUCGUUACAGAUUCUAAUGCAUUGUGAUUUUGUCCAGUGAUCAGAAUGUCAAAGUGAAGAAAUUCAACCAAGCACAGGUAAAUGGUGAGAGUAACUAUGACUCUCUUAAGGUAGCCAAAUGCCUUGUCAUGUAAUUAGUGACACACAUGUAUGGAUUGACGAGAUUCCCACUGUCCCUGUCUAUUAUCCAGCGAAACCACAACCAAGGGAACGUGCUUGGCAGAAUUAGCGGGUAAAGAUGACUUUGUUGAGCUUGUCUCAAGUCCGACUUUGUGAAAUGACUUGACAGGUGAAGGAUCAAUGGGAGGCACUUGCGUCAAAAUUGAAAUACUACUACUUUUAACGUUAUUUUGCUUAUUUCGUGAGUCUAAAGCAGGGCAGUACCCCUCCUUUUGGAUCCAAGGAUUGUCUCGGCGGCCUGAUUCAGGCCGAAGUCAUUGUCAGGUGUGUAGUUUGGCUGAAAGGGCACAUCUAUUAAAAGAUAACGCAGAUGUCCUAAGAUGAGCUCAACGAGAACAAAAAUCUCAUGUGGAAUAGAAGGGUAAAAGAUCAUUUAAUUCUGAUUUCUAGUACAAAUACGAACCAUGAAAGCAUGACCUAUCGAUCCUUUAGACCUCUAGAAUUUGAAGCUAGAGGUGUUAGAAAAGUUAUCAUAGGGAUAACUGGCUUGUGGCAGUCCUUCGAUGUCGGCUCUUCCUCUUAUUGUGAAGUAGAAUUCACCAAGUGUUGGAUUGUUCACCCACCAAUAGGGAACGUGAGCUAGGUUUAGACCGUCGUGAGACAAGUUUGUUUUACACUACUGAUGAUAGUGUCGCAAUAGUAAUUCAACCUAGUACAAGCAGAAGUGUGAUUAACACAAUUGGUUAACACGCUUGGAUUAAAAGCCAGUGGCGUGAUGCUACCGUGUGUAGGAUUAUGAUUGAACGCCUCUAAGCUAGAUAAGCGGCGCUUAUGCCCAUUGCCCUAUUGCCGACAGACCUUUAGUUCCCCAAAGGCACGUGUCAUUGGAGAAGCUCCGCAAUGGAUGAGUCGAGGGCAACCUUGAAGUACAAUUUCCAUCGAGUAGCUGGUAGAAUCUUUUAUAAAUGACUUAAAUAUGCGACGGGGUAUUGUAAAUUGCAAAGUGGCUUUGCUGGCACGAUCCACUAAGAUUU
rnacentral:rRNA from 1 species